CCCCCGAUUUUUCCUGCCCAGCCAGGAGGCUGCAGGACCCCCAGAUCCAGCCCCACCCUGCAGCAAUCUCAGCUCGGUCUCCACCCUGCCCGCCCGGGGUUCCCCGGGUGCCCCCCUCCUACCUGCGGGGUCGGACGCGGCUUUGCUCGGCUCCCUGUGCACCUCCCGGUCCUGCGGAGGGGGUAUAUAAGGGGCCGGGGAGAAACUUCUGGAAAGUUGGGAAAACCCUCUCAAAAAUGCUGGGGAGGGAGAGGAAGGGGAGGAUCCGUGCCGGCUGUGUCCCGGCCCGCCGCCAAUGGCAGGGAAUGCCGGCCCCGCGCCGCCGAAGGGGGGUCGGGCUGGAUGGGGGAUGCGCGUUCCCUCCUCCUGCCCUGCCUGGAGCCCUGCCUGAGCCCAGCCAGCCCUUGCAGCAGGAACAUGGGCAACUAUUCCCUGCACAAGCUGUGCUUUUGCCUUUUCACAUCUUAUUUCCAUCCUCUCCCUCCCCCGGGCGUUUCCUGCAGCUGGAUGGUUGUUGGUACCAAAGGCAGUUCCAGUUAAUAGAGUAGUUGGAUCUGCUGGAGGCAAGUUCAUCAAAUGUGGGAUGCACAAUGAAUCCACUCUGAGCUCUGUCUCUGAUUCACCAUGUGCAAUGAAUCCAGCAAUUUGCUGCUACUUGAAGCCUUUCUAAUUUCCCUGGCAUUUGCAGGAAGGUCCAUGGUCACCCUGUGGAAGCAGGUAUGAAGUCGAAGGUGGGGCAGGAUGGGGGGACACCCAAAAGCCCUUCAGGAAUCUCAGGCACCACAGGGCUGAUGCAGAGUUCAGUGCAAACAAAUCCUUGUGGGCAUGAGAAGCACUGGGCUCGUGGCACCGUGCACUCCAGAGGUCCUUUAGGGCCUCACCACCUGUGUUGUCCCAGUGGAAAAUCCCAGUGCUCUGGCUUCAGCUAAACAGAUAAUUGCAUGCCUUAGUGGCAGCCCUGCAUCCCUGGGGCAGCAGGACCACUGUCCCUGAGGGUGGGAUCAGGGUGAAAAACCUCCUCCAGCCUUGGCUGCCACCAGGGUUUGUGUCUCCGGUCCCAGCUCCAAUCCCACGCCCUGAGUCCUGCACUGGGAAUACACUUCUGGCUCUGCAUGGCUGUGGCCAAGAGUUUCCCAUGCUUCAGAAAGUGCCAUAAACCCACAAUAAACAGCACAGCCCCUGCA
rnacentral:lncRNA from 1 species